UUCACAGAAUUUGGAGUCUGGCACAGGAGUGUGUCCCACGCAUGAAUGUCAUCCUUUAGAUCUGGACCUGACAGCCUGGGAGCUGCUGGGGGGAAGAUCCCAACUGGGCCAGUUUGAACUUGGGCGCCCUCAUGUGCAUCGAGUGCUCAGGGAUCCACCGGAAUCUUGGCACCCACCUUUCCCGAGUCCGAUCUCUGGACCUGGAUGACUGGCCAAUCGAGCUCAUCAAGGUGAUGUCAUCCAUCGGGAACGAGCUAGCCAACAGCGUCUGGGAAGAGAGCAGCCAGGGGCGGACAAAACCCUCGGUAGACUCCACAAGGGAAGAGAAGGAACGGUGGAUCCGUGCCAAGUACGAGCAGAAGCUCUUCCUGGCCCCGCUGCCCUGCACGGAGCUGUCCCUGGGCCAGCACCUGCUGCGGGCCACCGCCGACGAGGACCUGCGGACGGCCAUCCUGCUGCUGGCACACGGCUCCCGGGAUGAGGUGAACGAGACCUGCGGGGAGGGAGACGGCCGCACGGCGCUGCAUCUGGCCUGCCGCAAGGGGAACGUGGUCCUGGCGCAGCUCCUGAUCUGGUACGGGGUGGACGUCAUGGCCCGAGAUGCCCACGGGAACACAGCGCUGGCCUACGCCCGGCAGGCCUCCAGCCAGGAGUGCAUCGACGUGCUGCUGCAGUACGGCUGCCCCGACGAGCGCUUCGUGCUCAUGGCCACCCCCAACCUGUCCAGGAGAAACAAUAACCGGAACAACAGCAGCGGGAGGGUGCCCACCAUCAUCUGAGGAACAGCCGUGCCCGCCUGCUCGCCGCACCGGGGACGCGGCAGCCUCGCCUCAUUCUCGCUCGGAAGUCGCAGCACGUGAGUCCCGUCGCAUCCCCUCCCUCUUCCUGGUGGCCGUCCCCCUCCCGCCCACCCACUCUCACCCCAAAAACAAAAUCACAAAACCUGGACAUCCUCAAGGGGCGAAGAGGCGGCCGGGAGACUGCAGAAGUGGCUCCUUUUCAUAAACUCCCCUAAACCACAAACAGGAGAGAGCGACGGGCCUCGGCCCUUUCAUGAUAGCACAUGGCGCAGGACCCUUGUCCUGGGGGCACAAGGGACGGGGACGCAAGGGGGAGGGGAGGCGAGGAACAAGGAGAAGGGGCAACUUUCCGUAAUUGGCAUUUAAGCACAUAGUACAUUUCACCUCUACCAAACGGAACACUUGGAUUCCAUCUCUUCUCUGAGGAGCUUGACGGCAUAAAUCAGAAGCAAGCACAGAGUUUGUCAGGUUUGAAGCCCCUAUGAUGGUAUGUGUCAAAUCAGUUGUAGCUAAUCUGUCCAGGGAGAAUACUGGCUUCAUUACACUUGUAUAGUUGAGUUCUUCCAGCAUUACUGCUGUUUAAUAGAACAUGAUUAGUCAUCACCGAGAAGAAAGCAUAUUAGCCGAGGAGGUAGUUACGCGGCACGCUCCGGUGAUUGCCACGAUGUGAUUGCAAUACUCUUAGAAGCAUCAUAUUAUCCCAGACAUGUUCUUUCAAGCCCUUGGAGCCCUCCUUUCUAAAUUCACUGUCAUAAUUUAGUAUCUGUUUAAUUUUUCAGUCCAAAGAGAGGAAAUCAGUCGCUGAGUAUUAUUUGACUCCGGUCUCCUUGGUGCAAAAACAAAAUGGGAAAAAUAAAUAAGAAUAACUCAGAAAUUCAAAAGGAAACCACAAAUUCAGCUAAUAAUAGCAUUUCGAGUAUAUUUCGUAAACUAAGUAAAUACACAAAAGGCUAUUUUUUCCGACCGUAAGAGAUAUUUUAUGUCCUUUUGCCGAGGUGGAUGUGUUAGUCUCAGGCCCUCCUGGGCCACAUUGCCCAAGUCACACAGGCUUCUGUGUUAUGUAUUUAGAUAAGAUGUGUGAAAAUAUAUUUGAAUAAAAGAAGUUCAUAAAUAUGCAUUGAUUUUUGUACAGACAAAUGGCACCUCUCUUAAUUUAUAAAUUGAACUGGAUGUGAACUAAUAAUGUGCAACUAGUUGAGAUAAGAGGGUUACAGAUCAUUGUACAUGGAAAAUAUUCCCAGCAGUAAACACUUCCAUUAAUGUGAUCUACAGCUUUUAAAAAGGAGCAUCUCAAAAUAAGAUGGUGGUACAAUUUGCUUAUUAAAAUUGAGAAAGAAAAAAAAAA
rnacentral:sRNA from 1 species